UUAUACCCUAGCCUUCCAAGCUAACGU
rnacentral:tRNA from 1 species